rnacentral:lncRNA from 1 species
UGGAGGAGAUCGAAGCACUUCGUCAGAACGAAGUUAAACUUGAAGACACGAACCUUAAACCGGGUUCGGUUCUUGAAAUACAUGGCAUUACUGCUGCUCAGGUUUGUACCUUGUGCAUAAAAAAAUGUACUCUUCUGGAGGAUGGUGUUAACAAAUUUUGUUUGUUAUUUUUUGGAAAUUUAGGCUGAUGUCACAAUUUCAUUUAAAUUGGAGAACUUGAAAGAGGCAGAGGUUUUGGAUACGAGUUCGGUCGAUCCACAAGCACUUUGUACCGAAAGAGGUGCCUCAAGCGAAGGUGCGUUUGGGCCUUUUGGCUUGUUGGCUAUGGCGUCUAAAGAUUUGG